GAUGAACGCUGGCGGCGUGCCUAAUACAUGCAAGUCGAGCGAACAGACGAGGAGCUUGCUCCUCUGACGUUAGCGGCGGACGGGUGAGUAACACGUGGAUAACCUACCUAUAAGACUGGGAUAACUUCGGGAAACCGGAGCUAAUACCGGAUAAUAUAUUGAACCGCAUGGUUCGAUAGUGAAAGAUGGUUUUGCUGUCACUUAUAGAUGGACCCGCGCCGCAUUAGCUAGUUGGUAAGGUAACGGCUUACCAAGGCAACGAUCCGUAGCCGACCUGAGAGGGUGAUCGGCCACACUGGAACUGAGACACGGUCCAGACUCCUACGGGAGGCAGCAGUAGGGAAUCUUCCGCAAUGGGCGAAAGCCUGACGGAGCAACGCCGCGUGAGUGAUGAAGGUCUUCGGAUCGUAAAACUCUGUUAUUAGGGAAGAACAAAUGUGUAAGUAACUAUGCACGUCUUGACGGUACCUAAUCAGAAAGCCACGGCUAACUACGUG
rnacentral:rRNA from 1 species